rnacentral:lncRNA from 1 species
GAUGAUACAAUUUGUAAUAAACAACUGUUAGUAUAGCUCUAAAGUCGUGUUAAUAUCCGUUUGUUUCUAUAUAGAAUAAAAAGUGAUUCACAACUGCAUGUGCUUUGCAUACAAAAGUCCUUCAAUUAAUCUACAGCCAUAAUAAUUAUUAAAAUACAAAUUGAUCAGCUCUUCAUGCUCUUCUGGAUAAUGUUUUUUUAUUGCUAAAGCAAUAUAUAUAUAAAGUAUAACACCUGUGCAAAAAAAAAAAAGGUAUGUGGUGUUGUGUUUAUUCUGUAUAACUUAUUUGUACGAUAAAUAUCCACUGAGGUUCUUGAUGAAAAUCGGCUGUAUAAUGGGGAUGUUUAAAUAAAGACCCCGAAAAUAAAUAUGGUAACCCAUACAAUUUGAAGAAUGUUUCAGAGGAGAUCAGCUGUGACAAGGGAGGAGGGAAAAAAGGAAAUAAAUAAGAACAUUGGCAAGAAUAACUUAAAGGAUGUUGAUCCUCACUUCUACUCUGAGUCCAACAAGGACUUAUAAUUAGUACUCUGCAACGAAUCCUCAAAGUUACUCGGCGUCAUUUAUGAGCCUGCACGAAUUUUCAAUAAGGUUUUGGAAUAUAUUUGAAGGAUUUGAGGAAAGGAACUCAGGAAUCAGAUAAUAAUGUCAACUUUUAAAGAAAAGAAAAUUCAUUCUUCACAUGACUAAUUAAAAAAACCGGUCCAGCUACAAAAAUUCACAAUAUUUUAAUUACAAAGUAUAGGGAUUUUGUUUGAUGUACUGUGAUAGCCCAUAAAAUGCCCUCUAAAUCUGAAAAAAUUAUAUAUUUUUAACUCUAAGAGGAAGUCGAAUUUCUGUCUACAAAUGACAACGACUCCAUGGUGUUAUUUUCAUCUUAUAUUAACUUUACUUUAAGCUUCAAUUUUUUACAAUUCAUAAUGUUUGAACCGUCAUAAUUAUCGUUUAAAAUCCUAUUGAGUUUUGUCGCAAUACUAGCUGGCAAAACGUCCCAGAAUUUAAACAGUCACUAAAUGUCGCCAAAUUCAAUAGCUGAUAUAUUUAGUGGCAAAGAUAUAAAGAGGGGCAUUCGCAAGAUUUGGGUCGUAUCCACAACCAAAUAAUGGUUUUCCUCGUCACCACAAUAUUAACUUAUUGUUUUUUACAAAAAUUGUAAAACAAUUUUGGACUCCCCUGAAAAACUAUACGUUAUUGCUACCCAGUACAUUUAAAUAUUUACAAUAGCAAGAAAUAAAAAUUAAAAUCACUGGUUACGAUUAAGGUUAAUAUAAUACAAGGAUAGACCGUCAUAUAAUCGUGCAUUCCAGAAUUUUCAAUUUCCUGUAUCGUACUGACUGCUGGGCAAGAGAGACCCAUUUUGAUAAAACACACAACCAAUCAUAUUCUAUGACGUCACUAUUAAAAAGUGUGGUAAAAGUCAAACAUCAAUUCUACACGUGUUAUGUUAUAACCUUGUAUUUCUAUUCACCUUGGUUGAGAUUAUAUACUUUAUUUGAAAAAUAACCACGUGGUUUAUUAAUGAUCAUCGCUUUUUGAAAUACACAAAGAUAAUGUUCAUUUUCCUUUAAUGUGUUGUCAUUAAUUCGCAUAA